AGGAUGAACGCUGGCGGCGUGCCUAAUACAUGCAAGUCGAGCGGUAAGGCCUCUUCGGAGGUACACGAGCGGCGGACGGCUGAGUAACACGUAGGAACGUACCCCAAAGUGAGGCAUAAGCACCAGAAAUGGUGUCUAAUACCGCAUGUGGCCUUAGGGCUAAAGCUCCGGCGCUUUGGGAACGGCCUGCGCAUGAUUAGCUUGUUGGUGAGGUAAUGGCUCACCAAGGCGACGAUCAUUAGCUGGUCUGAGAGGAUGAUCAGCCAGACUGGGACUGAGAACGGCCCAGACUCUACGGGAGGCAGCAGUAGGGAAUUUUCCACAAUGGGCGAAAGCCUGAUGGAGCAACGCCGCGUGCAGGAUGAAGGCCCUCGGGUCGUAAACUGCUUUUACGAGUGAAGAUUAUGACGGUAGCUCGUGAAUAAGGAUCGGCUAACUCCGCGCCAGCACGCCGC
rnacentral:rRNA from 1 species